ACAUUAAAAUAAGGUGAGCCCGGACCUAAAAAGCGGCGGUAUUUGGUAAUGAGUAUGCGCGAUAYGGUCUUGAGAGAUCCAAGAUGGCGGAUGAUAUGUGCUCUUCGUGCUUUAAGGGCACGAAGUAUUUUUGUUUAUCGUGCGCUAUGCCCUUCUGCUGUGAAUGUACAUUAUUCGAGAAUGAUGAAAACACACCCGGYUGGACAAUGGGAAAGUCGGUAGGGUACUGUCAGGUCUGUUUUGAGGAGAAAAGGAAAGACAAACCUGAAGUUGGAAGGAUAAUCUCCACAAUAGCUCAACAUCAUAGUAUACUUCAAUGAUAAUGGUUAUAAUUAGGUUAAAUUUAAGUUUAGAUUGGGAUACUUUUAGUUCAGGCAGGUCCAAAUGAGCUUUUAAAGUUGCCAAAUUAUAAUCUGCAUUAUCAAAUGAGUAUAAAUUGCAAAAAAAAAAUCACUUGCAUAACUGCCAGUUUUCUUCUUUUGUAUACCACUUACACAUGUGUAAAAGGUGCAAUGUUGAUACAUUAACAUUUCAGUGAAGUGAUACUUUAAACUACAA